GACGAACGCUGGCGGCGUGCUUAACACAUGCAAGUCGAACGGAAAGGCCCUGCUUUUGUGGGGUGCUCGAGUGGCGAACGGGUGAGUAACACGUGAGUAACCUGCCCUUGACUUUGGGAUAACUUCAGGAAACUGGGGCUAAUACCGGAUAGGAGCUCCUGCUGCAUGGUGGGGGUUGGAAAGUUUCGGCGGUUGGGGAUGGACUCGCGGCUUAUCAGCCUGUUGGUGGGGUAGUGGAUUACCAAGGCUUUGACGGGUAGCCGGCCUGAGAGGGUGACCGGCCACAUUGGGACUGAGAUACGGCCCAGACUCCUACGGGAAGCAGCAGUGGGGAAUAUUGCACAAUGGGCGGAAGCCUGAUGCAGCAACGCCGCGUGCGGGAUGACGGCCUUCGGGUUGUAAACCGCUUUCGCCUGUGACGAAGCGUGAGUGACGGUAAUGGGUAAAGAAGCACCGGCUAACUACGUG
rnacentral:rRNA from 1 species